UCCGAGUUGACCCCGGCAGUCUCCCAUGAGUCCCCACCAUCACGUGCUGGCAACAUGGAACGAGGGUUGCGCUCGUUGCGGGACUUAACCCAACAUCUCACGACACGAGCUGACGACAGCCAUGCACCACCUGUGAACCUGCCCCGAAGGGAAGCCCUGUUUCCAGAGCGGUCAGGUACAUGUCAAGCCCAGGUAAGGUUCUUCGCGUUGCGUCGAAUUAAACCACAUGCUCCGCUGCUUGUGCGGGCCCCCGUCAAUUCCUUUGAGUUUCAGCCUUGCGGCCGUACUCCCCAGGCGGGGCACUUACUGCGUUAGCGACGGCACCGGGAGGGUCGCUCCCCCCGACGCCUAGUGCCCAUCGUUUACGGCGUGGACUAC
rnacentral:misc_RNA from 1 species